rnacentral:rRNA from 1 species
AUGCCCAAGUGCGAGUGCAUAUUAUCCCUCGCUUUUGUUCACCGUAAGGUGAUCAACGAAUUAGAGCUGGGCAAGCCCGGUUACAGCCGCCGCGGUAAUACCGGCAGCUCGAGUGAUGUCACAUAUUAUUCGUCCUAUAGCGUCCGUAGCUGGCCAACCAAGUACAUUCAGAGAUUCAGUCCCCCAUCGGGUGGGCGUCCGGUGGAAACUGGCUGGCUUGGAACCGGAAGGCUCAGAGAGUACGUCCGGGGUAGGAGUGAAAUACUGUAAUUCCGGUCGUUCUCACGAUGAUGGCAAAACCGCUUUGUGAAGACGGUUUCGACAGUGAGGGACGAAAGCUAGGGUCUCAAACCGGAUUAGAUACCCGGGUAGUCCUAGCUGUCAACGAUGCUCGGAAGGUCGUGCACACACUACGAGUGGGUGCUGUGCCGUAGGGAAGCCGCUAAACGAGCCGCCUGGGAAGUACGUCCGCAAGGAUGAAACUUAAAGGAAUUGGCGGG